GACGAACGCUGGCGGCGUGCUUAACACAUGCAAGUCGAACGCUGAAGCUCAGCUUGCUGGGUGGAUGAGUGGCGAACGGGUGAGUAACACGUGAGUAACCUGCCCUCUUCUUUGGGAUAACGCCCGUAAACGGGUGCUAAUACUGGAUAUUCACUUAUUCUCGCAUGGGGGUUGGUGGAAAGGUUUUUUCUGGUGGGGGAUGGGCUCGCGGCCUAUCAGCUUGUUGGUGGGGUGAUGGCCUACCAAGGCUUUGACGGGUAGCCGGCCUGAGAGGGUGACCGGUGACAUUGGGACUGAGAUACGGCCCAGACUCCUACGGGAGGCAGCAGUGGGGAAUAAUGCACAAUGGGCGAAAGCCUGAUGCAGCGACGACGCGUGAGGGAUGGAGGCCUGCGGGUUGUAAACCUCUUUCGCUCAUGGUCAAGCCGCAGCUUUGGGUUGUGGUGAGGGUAGUGGGUAAAGAAGCGCCGGCUAACUACGUG
rnacentral:rRNA from 1 species